UACGUAGGGACCAAGCGUUGUUCGGAUUUACUGGGCGUAAAGGGCGCGUAGGCGGUGCGGUAAGUCACUUGUGAAAUCUCCGGGCUUAACUCGGAACGGUCAAGUGAUACUGUUGUGCUAGAGUGCGGAAGGGGCAACUGGAAUUCUCGGUGUAGCGGUGAAAUGCGUAGAUAUCGAGAGGAACACCUGCGGCGAAGGCGGGUUGCUGGGCCGACACGUGACGCUGAUGCGCGAAAGCCAGGGGAGCGAACGGG
rnacentral:rRNA from 1 species